rnacentral:tRNA from 1 species
GGUGGCUCAGGGGUAGAGCACUUGCCUACCAUGCAUGAAGCCCUGGGUUCGAUUCCUCAGCACCA